UGUAAAAUACCUAAUAACUGUACAAAUAGGCUACUAGCUGCAUGCUGUGAGUAUUAGCCGUUCUAAAUGCACACAAAAAGGCGCUGUUUGAAAUGAAAGGGAAUCAGUUCGCUUCGAGGAUACUGAAUUCGCUACAACACCGGCACUGUUUGAACGCGUCAUCAAUAGCCGCAGGAGAGCAACGAAACAGUGUCACAUUUAUUUCUAUACUUUUGUUACAAU